GUAUCGGGUUCCCAAUUACAAACCUCUCUGGUUACCUGUCCAUGUUGCUUUCACAAGUCAGGAAACAUUACUGUUUGUUAAUGGCAGUGUGGUUAUUCGUACUGCUUGCAUUUUUAGUACUGUACAGGCACUUGUGAAAGAUCUCAAUCAACCCUUUAAUUAUGUGGUCUGACCUGGUUACAUACCAGAUUUCUUAAGUGAAAACUUUCAACAACGGAUCUCUUGGCUCUCGCAUCGAUGAAGAACGCAGCGAAAUGCGAUAAGUAAUGUGAAUUGCAGAAUUCAGUGAAUCAUCGAAUCUUUGAACGCACAUUGCGCCCUUUGGCAUUCCUUAGGGCAUGCCUGCUCGAGCGUCACAGAAAACCCCAUCACAGAUACUGUGGUCUUGGUAUGAGUGGGUUGAUAGUAUGUGGAGACAUGCUUAUAACACUCACUCUACUGAAAUUUAUAGACAGGAUACCAGAUAUGGGCAAUAGACUUUGUAAAUAUCCGCAGGAUAUAUCAGUCAUGUGUUAUGUUUGGUCCUGAAAUUAUAGACUCGGACUCCUAUUCUAUAAAAAUAUUGGGUUGACCUCGAAUCAGGUAGGGAUACCCGCUGAACUUAAGCAUAUCAAUAA
rnacentral:sRNA from 1 species